GUCGAGGUCAGUCAUCGUUACCCGCAGCGGCGCCAUUUUGCCCAAACCGGUGAAAGUCACGACCCCCAGGAGACCUGGAGGACUGAAUGCUGCUGCCCCCAAGGAGGAG
rnacentral:misc_RNA from 1 species